rnacentral:rRNA from 1 species
AACGAACGCUGGCGGCAUGCCUAACACAUGCAAGUCGAACGGGAUCCUAGCUUGCUAGGUGAGAGUGGCGGACGGGUGAGUAACACGUGGGAAUCUGCCUUUUGGUUCGGGAUAACCGCGGGAAACUGCGGCUAAUACCGAAUGCCCUCGAGAGAGGAAAGAUUUAUCGCCAGAAGAGGAGCCCGCGUCCGAUUAGGUAGUUGGUGGGGUAAAGGCCUACCAAGCCGACGAUCGGUAGCUGGUCUGAGAGGAUGAUCAGCCACACUGGGACUGAGAUACGGCCCAGACUCCUACGGGAGGCAGCAGUGGGGAAUAUUGGGACAAUGGGCGAAAGCCUGAUCCAGCAAUGCCGCGUGAGUGAUGAAGGCCUUAGGGUUGUAAAGACUCUUUUGCCAGGGAAGAUGAUGACUGUACCUGGAGAAUAAGCCCCGGCUAACUUCGUGCCAGCAG